rnacentral:misc_RNA from 1 species
GCUUACACACCAGUUUCUUCGAUUUGUUGAUCUAACUUUUGCUCUCUCGAUCUUUCCCUUCAAUGGCCGCUAAAGAUCCUAAGGAGAGACAAAGCAUAGGAAAAGAAACCAUAAGAACUGAAGCAAAGUGAGAGGCUUCAUGGUGAAUUGUAUCAGUUUUUGAAGAAUUAAUUGCAAAUUGGAAAAAAAAAAUUGUUUGGGUUGUUGUAUAUGGUCUAAGGUUGUGGUUCGGGUUUGAUUUGUUUGGAUUUGAUAUGGGUGGGUGUUUUCCUUGUUUUGGAUCAUCAAACAAGGAGGGCAGUGGUGGUGGUGCUGCCGUCAAAGAAGUGGCUAAGAAGGAUUCGGUCAAAGAAGGCUCAGUUGCUCAGUCUCACCAUGUUAGUAGAGUUAGCUCAGACAAAUCAAAAUCCCAAAAUGGUUCUGAUCCUAAGAAGGAGCCAGCAAUUCCUAAAGAUGGACCAACUGCCAAUAUUGCAGCACAAACAUUUACAUUCAAAGAGCUUGCUGCUGUGACGAAGAACUUCAGACCAGAGUGUCUGUUGGGUGAAGGGGGAUUUGGGCGUGUUUACAAAGGGUAUUUGGAGAGCACUGGACAGGUGGUUGCUGUAAAACAGCUCGAUCGGAAUGGACUUCAAGGAAACAGGGAAUUUCUUGUUGAGGUUCUCAUGCUUAGCCUCUUGCACCAUACCAACCUCGUUAAUUUGAUUGGUUAUUGUGCUGAUGGGGAUCAACGCCUCCUUGUUUAUGAGUUUAUGCCACUGGGAUCGUUGGAGGAUCACUUGCAUGAUCUUCCACCGGACAAGGAGCCUCUGGACUGGAACACAAGGAUGAAGAUUGCAGCUGGUGCAGCUAAGGGGUUAGAGUACUUGCAUGACAAAGCAAACCCGCCUGUCAUUUACCGAGACUUAAAAUCAUCCAACAUCCUUCUUGAUGAGGGCUAUCACCCCAAGUUAUCAGAUUUUGGACUUGCAAAGUUGGGUCCUGU